rnacentral:rRNA from 1 species
AAGUUACAAACAUUAUUUAGUAUUUAUGAGCUAAUCAAACAUCAUAAUUUUUAUGGAGAGUUUGAUCCUGGCUCAGGAUGAACGCUGGCGGCGUGCCUAAUACAUGCAAGUCGAGCGAACGGACGAGAAGCUUGCUUCUCUGAUGUUAGCGGCGGACGGGUGAGUAACACGUGGAUAACCUACCUAUAAGACUGGGAUAACUUCGGGAAACCGGAGCUAAUACCGGAUAAUAUUUUGAACCGCAUGGUUCAAAAGUGAAAGACGGUCUUGCUGUCACUUAUAGAUGGAUCCGCGCUGCAUUAGCUAGUUGGUAAGGUAACGGCUUACCAAGGCAACGAUGCAUAGCCGACCUGAGAGGGUGAUCGGCCACACUGGAACUGAGACACGGUCCAGACUCCUACGGGAGGCAGCAGUAGGGAAUCUUCCGCAAUGGGCGAAAGCCUGACGGAGCAACGCCGCGUGAGUGAUGAAGGUCUUCGGAUCGUAAAACUCUGUUAUUAGGGAAGAACAUAUGUGUAAGUAACUGUGCACAUCUUGACGGUACCUAAUCAGAAAGCCACGGCUAACUACG